rnacentral:rRNA from 1 species
UACGUAGGGGGCUAGCGUUGUCCGGAAUCAUUGGGCGUAAAGCGCGCGUAGGCGGCCCAGUAAGUCCGUUGUAAAAAGUCAAAGGCUCAACCUUUGAAAGCCGAUGGAUACUGCUGGGCUAGAGUCCGGAAGAGGCGAGUGGAAUUCCUGGUGUAGCGGUGGAAUGCGCAGAUAUCAGGAGGAACACCGAUAGCGAAGGCAGUUCUCUGGUACGUGAUUGACGCUGAGACGCGAAAGCGUGGGGAGCAAACAGG